CCACCGGCCCUUUUCAGGGCCACCCAAAUAUCCAGAAAGAGCUCAU
rfam:Branchiostoma floridae genomic scaffold BRAFLscaffold_174, whole genome shotgun sequence.